rnacentral:tRNA from 1 species
GUGGCUGUGGCUCAGUGGUAGAGCACUUUGCUUGCAAGAGCACUGGGUUCGAUCCUCAGCACCACA